UCAGGUUCGAGUGCUGUCUCAAGUAUCUCUUCUUGAGGUGCAAGGAAUGCAUCUUCCUGAGUUUAGCGUCUUUGGUGCCUAUUUCUGACUCUCACAGCUGUACUUGGAGCAUAAUCUGGCCUAUAGUAAAUAUUUUAAAGUUUAUCCUGGAAGAUGAGCUUCAUCAAAUAGAUGCAUAUUCUGUAGAAGAGAGAAUGCCUUUUGUUAGACAUCUGAACGAAGUGCAGAGGAUCAUCUCUCCACAAUAUGACUACACCAAGGGUGAUUGUAGAGAGAAGCAGUUUUACCAACAGAUGCAGAAAGAAUCAGACACCUUCUGACUGCCAUAGCUGCCACCAGCAAGGAGGAAAAGACUCUCAGAUGCAAAGGAAAAUCCUCGACCUCUUCUUUUAGCACCUGUUAAAAGGUUUGGACUUCUGGGAUGUUCUUCAAAUCAACCUGCAGAAUGGCCACAGCUUGGAGGGAGACCUGCCCUUUUGCCACCAGGUGAGUGACAAAGACCUGUAGCUGUUUGGUUUAAUAACUGUAAAUCAUUUCUGCUUAGAACCUGAUGCUGACAACUACACAGCUACUCUAGCUUGAGAACUUAAAUCAUUUAAAUAAUGAUUUAAAGGAAUUUUCAUUUAAAUAGUGAAAACAGCAGCCAUGUCAGCCUGAAAAGUACUGUUUCUAUAUUGAAAAUAAUUCCUUCCUUCCCUUCCUUCCCUUCCACCCUCCCUUCCUCCCAUCCCUGCCCCUUAUUCAAAAAUUCACCACCAUGUGUUUAUGCUAGAAGGGACUAGCAUAACCAUGCUUUCAGGCCAAAGACCUUUCACUGAUGAAAGAGGGGAUUGAUUUUUAGAUGUAAGCAUAUAUGGGAAGGAUUACCAAAUCCUAAAACUGCCUUACAGUGUUUGUUGUUUUUUGUCACAGCCAUUUGUGUUAAACCACUGCAGCACCAAUGGGGAGCUUCAGCUAAGAAGACACUGACAGCACUGAGAACGUGGAAGUCCUGUAACCACCAUCACACCCUCUGUCACCUGCGAGAAAUGAAAAAUUGAAGAAGGCUUGUCCUUUAAAACAAAUGCUCAUGAAUGUCACUGCUGCACCUUUGUGAUUUUAAAUUCAAGUUGUAAACAGUCACAGAAUAAAGUUGUGUGUUUUACUCA
rnacentral:lncRNA from 1 species